rnacentral:rRNA from 1 species
GAUGAACGCUGGCGGCGUGCUUAACACAUGCAAGUCGAACGGAAAGGCUCCUGCUUGCAGGGGUACUCGAGUGGCGAACGGGUGAGUAACACGUGGGUGAUCUACCCUGCACUUCGGGAUAAGCCUGGGAAACUGGGUCUAAUACCGGAUAGGACGAUGGUUUGGAUGCCAUUGUGGAAAGUUUUUUCGGUGUGGGAUGAGCUCGCGGCCUAUCAGCUUGUUGGUGGGGUAAUGGCCUACCAAGGCGUCGACGGGUAGCCGGCCUGAGAGGGUGUACGGCCACAUUGGGACUGAGAUACGGCCCAGACUCCUACGGGAGGCAGCAGUGGGGAAUAUUGCACAAUGGGCGCAAGCCUGAUGCAGCGACGCCGCGUGGGGGAUGACGGCCUUCGGGUUGUAAACUCCUUUCGCUAGGGACGAAGCGCAAGUGACGGUACCUGGAGAAGAAGCACCGGCUAACUACGUG